GCUCCAGACUCCUACGGGAGGCAGCAGUGGGGAAUAUUGCACAAUGGGGGAAACCCUGAUGCAGCGACGCCGCGUGAGUGAAGAAGUAUUUCGGUAUGUAAAUCCCUAUCAGCAGGGAAGAAGUUGACGGUACCUGAGUAAGAAGCCACGGCUAACUACGUGCCAGCAGCCGCGGUAAUACGUAGGUGGCAAGCGUUGUCCGGAAUUACUGGGUGUAAAGGGAGCGUAGGCGGGAAGCCAAGUCAGCUGUGAAAACUACGGGCUUAACCUGUAGACUGCAGUUGAAACUGGCUUUCUUGAGUGAAGUAGAGGUUGGCGGAAUUCCGAGUGUAGCGGUGAAAUGCGUAGAUAUUCGGAGGAGCACCGGUGGCGAAGGCGGCCAACUGGGCUUUAACUGACGCUGAGGCUCGAAAGUGUGGGGAGCAAACAGGAUUAGAUACCCGUGUACU
rnacentral:rRNA from 1 species